AUUUGCAAGGUCUGCGGUUGAAAGUUCAAGCCAGAUGCAGGCAAAAGAAUCCACGUAAGCUUUAGCAAAAAGCCUAAAGUGAGCAUGGUGCAUCUUAGAAGUAAGUCCUGCCACUUUAAAGUGAGAGAGCAAUUAGUGAGAGCAAACCUCAAGCAAAAGCUCCAGCAGGCGAGUGUGGGGUCAAAGACCGGGUCAGCUUGCAAGU
rfam:Peptostreptococcaceae bacterium CCRI-22567 contig-3000025, whole genome shotgun sequence.